CCUACGUGAGGCAGCAGUGAGGAAUAUUGGUCAAUGGGCGCGAGCCUGAACCAGCCAAGUAGCGUGAAGGCUGACUGCCCUACGGGUUGUAAACUUCUUUUAUAAAGGAAUAAGGUGAGGCACGUGUGCCUUUUUGUAUGUACUUUAUGAAUAAGGAUCGGCUAACUCCGUGCCAGCAGCCGCGGUAAUACGGAGGAUCCGAGCGUUAUCCGGAUUUAUUGGGUUUAAAGGGAGCGUAGAUGGGUUGUUAAGUCAGUUGUGAAAGUUUGCGGCUCAACCGUAAAAUUGCAAUUGAUACUGGCAAUCUUGAUUACAGUUGAGGUAGGCGGAAUUCGUGGUGUAGCGGUGAAAUGCUUAGAUAUCACGAAGAACUCCGAUUGCGAAGGCAGCUUACUAAACUGCCACUGACAUUGAUGCUCGAAAGUGUGGGUAUCAAACAGGAUUAGAUACCCUUGUAGUC
rnacentral:rRNA from 1 species